AAAGUCGUAACAAGGUCUCCGUAGGUGAACCUGCGGAGGGAUCAUUACCGAAUGGCUUCGGCCUUCAACCUUCAAACCCGUGGAAGCAAUCCGUGCUUCGGCGCUCCGGCGCCGUCAUCAUGCGGAAAUCGUAGUGUCGUCUGAAUCGGAAAUUUGAAUCAAAACUUUCAACAAAGGAUCUCUUGGCUCUC
rnacentral:misc_RNA from 1 species